rnacentral:miRNA from 1 species
UCCCCUCCACUUUCCUCCUAG